AAAAAAAAAAAAAGAGCAUGUUCUGCAAUUUUGGUGUUUGGGAUGGACAGAAAACUGGUCAACAAAAUUGUAUACAUGGUCAAAGAAAAGAGUAAGCAAUUUUAUGAUUUUUUACAAACAAAAAAUGCAAGGAACUCUCAAGAGAUUCACAUAGUUAUACAUUCGUUAGUUUACCAAUCAUUUCCAGUCAUCAAUUGCCCUUUGUAUCUUUUCUUGGAAUGUUCUCUUCUGCUUAAGUAUAUUUAAUUGAAGCCAAAUGCAAAAUAAUAUGAAGCUCUUAUAGCCUUGAAUAUUUUCAUACAAUUUUUCAUUGAAAACAAAAAUUUCUAAUGUAUUCUAAAAUGUCAAAAUCUAGUUUAAUUCCACAUUCAGUAUGAUGACCCAACAUUCAACAAGAUUAAAAUGGGUUUUUGAUGUAAAACAUUUUCCAUCAAACAAAUAAAACCUUAUUUGUCUGUUACUUUCCACAACCAAACAACUAGUUAAAAAACUAUCCAGUUGAUCUUUCCCUUUAUUAAACAUUAAAGCCAUGCCUCCAUCUAUUCAACUCUAAAUUUAUAAGCAAUAUCCCUUCAUUUAAUAAUAUACAUAAAUCCUAUAGAGUCUCUGCAUCACAUGCAGAGGUCCAAUGUGCAUGCUUAUCUUGAAAAAAUUGUUAGUCAUGGCGGACCAAAUUGAAAACUUACACAUAUUGACCACAAAAUCAAAAGUUCAAUUUUGAUUGUAUUAUUUACCCUCAAAUGGUUGCUAUAAGACUCUGGCCAUGUUACUAUCAUUAAACCAACAUUGGGGAUCUGAGAAAAUACCCACAGGAUGCAAAAUGGCGUGUAAUUAACUAAGAAACAAUGAAAUGAUAAGGCUUAUGAUAUUACUAAAGCAAACAACCAAUGUUCUUCUACUAUUCGCAUUUCACUUAAUUAACGCUGUUUGAAAUGUCCUAGAGGCUCUAGGACAUAUACGUAAGGGCCUACACAGAGAUGCACCACAGUUUUUGAUAAACAAGUUGUUGGCAUUAGAACAUAUGACUUUUGAUGAAUCUACUCUAUUAAGCUAAUCUUUAUGCAACUAAUCCUUUAUGCAUAAUCCUUCAAAUUCUCACAACCCACACAACAACUCUACGGCAAACGCCCACCUAGCAACCUCACCUUACGUCAAACUACCUCAUACAGACACGACUUGUGGACUUAUCAAUUGUAAUGAACCAGUUAAUCCUACAUUUUGUCACUUAUUGUCUUGGCAUUCGUCCAUUUAAACAUACAAUAUGGACAAGGAACAUGCCACCACUUCAUAUAACUCAGAGUUUCUGAAUGUUGCUCCCCACAUUCACCUCCACCUGUGGAUCAUCAAUCUGAAGUAAUCAAAAUUCCAAAGUUACUAAAUCCUCCAGUUCACUACAAUGUGAGCUGAAAUAGAAAAUUAUUUAUCUUAAUAUAGGACUAAUCUGCUAAUGAACCCAAACUUAAACAAAGUUUUGAUACAUAAAAACUCUUAAAUUCAAACUUACAUAAAAUCCAGUACGAAUUUUAAGAAUUAACUAUCAAAGCACAGAUCUUCAAUUCACCCCAUAUCUCAGGACCCCCAUACCUCACACCUCCACAAAGUUGGAAACAUCUAAUACCAGGAAUAAACUUCCUAAGCUAAAAUAGAGAUCAAAGCAAGAGCAAAAACUGAGUAUACUAUUCUUAAAAACCCAAAUUUAAACACAGUUAAAAAGAAGUUAGAAAAAGAAAAGGCAAAAGAGAGAGAAAAAGGCAUACAAUGCUUCUUCGUCUCUCAGCGG
rnacentral:misc_RNA from 1 species